UNUGACUUGAGUGCAGAAGGGGAGAGUGGAAUUCCAUGNGUAGCGGUGAAAUGCGUAGAUAUAUGGAGGAACACCAGUGGCGAAAGCGGCUCUCUGGUCUGUCACUGACGCUGAGGCUCGAAAGCGUGGGUAGCGAACAGGAUUAGAUACCCUGGUAGUNCACGCCGUAAACGAUGAGUGCUAGGUGUUAGGCCCUUUCCGGGGCUUAGUGCCGGAGCUAACACAAUAAGCACUCCGCCUGGGGAGUACGACCGCAAGGUUGAAACUCAAAGGAAUUGACGGGGGCCCGCACAAGCGGUGGAGCAUGUGGUUUAAUUCGAAGCAACGCGAAGAACCUUACCAGGUCUUGACAUCCCGAUGCUAUUCUUAGAGAUAGGAAGUUACUUCGGUACAUCGGAGACAGGUGGUGCAUGGUUGUCGUCAGCUCGUGUCGUGAGACGUUGGGUUAAGUCCCGCAACGAGCGCAACCCUUAUUGUUAGUUGCCAUCAUUAAGUUGGGCACUCUAGCGAGACUGCCGGUAAUAAACCGGAGGAAGGUGGGGAUGACAUCAAAUCAUCAUGCCCCUUAUGACCUGGGCUACACACGUGCUACAAUGGUCGGUACAACGAGUUGCGAGCCGGUGACGGCAAGCUAAUCUCUGAAAGCCGAUCUCAGUUCGGAUUGGAGGCUGCAACUCGCCUCCAUGAAGUCGGAAUCGCUAGUAAUCGCGGAUCAGCACGCCGCGGUGAAUACGUUCCCGGGCCUUGUACACACCG
rnacentral:rRNA from 1 species